AAUAUUUCAAGUACUACAAACAAUUACCGUUCUUUGGGACUUCUACAGAUGGCAAUAACAACAUGAUGUUUUUAUGUGACCAACUGAUAGUAUCAUUCCUACCACAUAAAGUCUGAAACAAACAAUAAAUUGAAAGAAACGAACAAAGAAAAG